rnacentral:rRNA from 1 species
GAUGAACGCUGGCGGCGUGCCUAAUACAUGCAAGUCGAGCGAACAGACGAGGAGCUUGCUCCUCUGACGUUAGCGGCGGACGGGUGAGUAACACGUGGAUAACCUACCUAUAAGACUGGGAUAACUUCGGGAAACCGGAGCUAAUACCGGAUAAUAUAUUGAACCGCAUGGUUCAAUAGUGAAAGACGGUUUUGCUGUCACUUAUAGAUGGAUCCGCGCCGCAUUAGCUAGUUGGUAAGGUAACGGCUUACCAAGGCAACGAUGCGUAGCCGACCUGAGAGGGUGAUCGGCCACACUGGAACUGAGACACGGUCCAGACUCCUACGGGAGGCAGCAGUAGGGAAUCUUCCGCAAUGGGCGAAAGCUUGACGGAGCAACGCCGCGUGAGUGAUGAAGGUCUUCGGAUCGGAAAACUCUGUUAUUAGGGAAGAACAAAUGUGUAAGUAACUAUGCACGUAUUGACGGUACCUAAUCAGAAAGCCACGGCUAACUACGUG